CCUACGGGAGGCAGCAGUGGGGGAUAUUGCACAAUGGGGGGAACCCUGAUGCAGCGACGCCGCGUGGGUGAAGGAGCGUUUCGGCGCGUAAAGCCCUAUCGGCAGGGAAGAAAAUGCGGGUACCUGACUAAGAAGCCCCGGCCAACAACGUGCCAGCAGCCGAGGUCAUAAGUAGGGGGCAAGCGUGAUCCGGAUUUACUGGGUGUAAAGGGAGCGUAGGCGGUUGAGCAAGUCAGAAGUGAAAGCCCGGGGCUCAACUCCGGGACUGCUUUUGAAACUGUUGAACUAGAUUGCAGGAGAGGUAAGUGGAAUUCCUAGUGUAGCGGUGAAAUGCGUAGAUAUUAGGAGGAACACCAGUGGCGAAGGCGGCUUACUGGACUGUAAAUGACGCUGAGGCUCGAAAGCGUGGGGAGCAAACAGGAUUAGAUACCCCAGUAGUC
rnacentral:rRNA from 1 species